GCCUCUAUGGCGUAGUGGUAACGCGUUGCACUUGUAAGUUAUACUAUGACGGUAAUAAUUGCAAGAAUAUGCAAAGAUCCCUCGUUCGAUCCGGGGUGGAGGCA